rnacentral:misc_RNA from 1 species
UAGGCAUAUUCGGUGGCCUCUGGGGAGC